AGCGAACGCUGGCGGCAGGCCUAACACAUGCAAGUCGAACGAACCUUCCGGGGUCUGUGGCGGCCGGGUGUGUCACCGGUCGGAACGUGAACACAGGUUUGGCAUACCUAUGGGACACUUGUGAUAAUACCGAACGUGAGCUAAGGGGGAAAGAUUUAUCGCCUUUAGAGCGGCAGGCGUCGGAUUAGCUAGUUGGUUGAGGUAAUGGUUCACCAACGCGACGUUCAGUAGCUGGUCAGAGAGGAUGUUCCGCCACAUUGGGACCGAGACACGGCUCAAACUCCUACGGGAGGCAGCAGUGGGGAAUCUUGCACAAUGGGCGAAAUCCUGACGCAGCCAUGCCGCGAGAAUGAUGAAGGUCUUAGGAUUGUAAAAUUCUUUCACCGAGGACCGUAAUGACGGUACCCGGAGAAAAAGCCCCGGCUAACUUCGUG
rnacentral:rRNA from 1 species